CGAGAGCCUAUAAAACAGCAUGUGAUUGGCUCCGUGGGGGCGCGCGCCUGCGUGCCUGCGGGUCCGCAGCCCCGGGAUCUGCGUGACGUGGGACCGGCUAUAAAUGCCCGCGCAGCGGCAGAUUAGCCUCUCGGGCUGCAGGACACCCGGAUGCCGAGCCUGAGGACUACGCCGCCAGUACUGCGGGGGGCGGGGGAGGGGGCUCUGCUCUCCUCUUUCAAUAAAAGUGUGAGUUUGACUUA